UAGCGUAGGGGGCAAGCGUUGUCCGGAAUUAUUGGGCGUAAAGCGCGCGCAGGCGGCUAUUUAAGUCUGGUGUUUAAACCUUGGGCUCAACCUGAGGUCGCACUGGAAACUGGGUGGCUUGAGUACAGAAGAGGAAAGUGGAAUUCCACGUGUAGCGGUGAAAUGCGUAGAUAUGUGGAGGAACACCAGUGGCGAAGGCGACUUUCUGGGCUGUAACUGACGCUGAGGCGCGAAAGCGUGGGGAGCAAACAGG
rnacentral:rRNA from 1 species